rnacentral:rRNA from 1 species
AGUGGGGAAUAUUGGACAAUGGGCGCAAGCCUGAUCCAGCCAUGCCGCGUGAAUGAUGAAGGCCUUAGGGUUGUAAAGUUCUUUCACCGAUGAAGAUAAUGACGGUAGUCGGAGAAGAAGCCCCGGCUAACUUCGUGCCAGCAGCCGCGGUAAUACGAAGGGGGCUAGCGUUGUUCGGAAUUACUGGGCGUAAAGCGCACGUAGGCGGAUAUUUAAGUCAGGGGUGAAAUCCCAGAGCUCAACUCUGGAACUGCCUUUGAUACUGGGUAUCUUGAGUAUGGAAGAGGUGAGUGGAAUUCCGAGUGUAGAGGUGAAAUUCGUAGAUAUUCGGAGGAACACCAGUGGCGAAGGCGGCUCACUGGUCCAUUACUGACGCUGAGGUGCGAAAGCGUGGGGAGCAAA